rnacentral:rRNA from 1 species
CCUUCGGGGCGAGCGGCGGACGGGUUAGUAACGCGUGGGAACAUACCCUUUUCUACGGAAUAGCCAUUGGAAACGAUGAGUAAUACCGUAUACGCCCUUCGGGGGAAAGAUUUAUCGGAGAAGGAUUGGCCCGCGUUAGAUUAGAUAGUUGGUGGGGUAAUGGCCUACCAAGUCUACGAUCUAUAGCUGGUUUUAGAGGAUGAUCAGCAACACUGGGACUGAGACACGGCCCAGACUCCUACGGGAGGCAGCAGUGGGGAAUCUUAGACAAUGGGCGCAAGCCUGAUCUAGCCAUGCCGCGUGUGUGAUGAAGGCCCUAGGGUCGUAAAGCACUUUCGCCAGAGAUGAUAAUGACAGUAUCUGGUAAAGAAACCCCGGCUAACUCCGUGCCAGCAGCCGCGGUAAUACGGAGGGGGUUAGCGUUGUUCGGAAUUACUGGGCGUAAAGCGUACGUAGGCGGAUCAGAAAGUAGGGGGUGAAAUCCCGAGGCUCAACCUCGGAACUGCCUCCUAAACUCCUGGUCUUGAGUUCGAGAGAGGUGAGUGGAAUUCCAAGUGUAGAGGUGAAAUUCGUAGAUAUUUGGAGGAACACCAGUGGCGAAGGCGGCUCACUGGCUCGAUACUGACGCUGAGGUACGAAAGUGUGGGGAGCAAACAGGA